GAUGAGAUUCCCAUUUCUUCGGAAAGUAAGAUCCCUGAAAGAUGAUCAGGUAGAUAGGUUUGGAGUGGAAGUGUAGCGAUACAUGGAGCGGACAAAUACUAAUCGAUCGAGGACUUAACCAA
rnacentral:rRNA from 1 species